GACGAACCGUGCGAACGUUAUUCGGAAUCACUGGGCUUAAAGCGCGUGUAGGCGGGAGGGCACGUCCGUUGCUGAAAUCCCCCGGCUCAACCGGGGAACGGGCGCGGAUACGACUCUCCUUGAGGGGCGUAGGGGGACCUGGAACUUCCGGUGGAGCGGUGAAAUGCGUUGAGGUCGGAAGGAACGCCCGUGGCGAAAGCGAGGUCCUGGACGCCUACUGACGCUGAGACGCGAAAGCCAGGGGAGGCGAACGGG
rnacentral:rRNA from 1 species